CAACAUAAGUGCCAAACACCAAAUAAUUCAACUGAGUAUAUUUUUGCUGGAAACAACAUGAAACCUACCAAAUAAUUAAGUUAAAUCUAUGUUACAAGACUCUUUUACGGAAACAUAUCCGAUAUGAGGAUGUGCAGGUAUCCAGUUCAGGUACGUCUUAUUCUUUUUCUAAUUUUUAGUCUAUUAGAAGGAUCUGCUUGAAGUAAAGGCAUACAUAUUUCACCAGUUCGAGAUGAG
rnacentral:lncRNA from 1 species